rnacentral:rRNA from 1 species
GACGAACGCUGGCGGCGUGCUUAACACAUGCAAGUCGAACGGAAAGGCCCUGCUUUUGUGGGGUGCUCGAGUGGCGAACGGGUGAGUAACACGUGAGUAACCUGCCCUUGACUUUGGGAUAACUUCAGGAAACUGGGGCUAAUACCGGAUAGGAGCUCCUGCUGCAUGGGGGGGGUUGGAAAGUUUCGGCGGUUGGGGAUGGAUUCGCAGCUUAUCAGCUUGUUUGUGGGGUAGGUGCUUACCAAGGCUUAGACGGGUAGCCGGCCUGAGAGGGUUGACGGCCACCUUGGGACUGAGAUACGGCCCAGACUGCUACGGGAGGCAGCAGUGGGGAAUAUUGCACAAUGGGCGGACGCCUGAUGCAGCAACGCCGCGUGCGGGAUGCCGGCUUUCGGGUUGUAAACCGCUUUCGCAUGUGACGAAGCGUGAGUGACGGUAAUGGGUAAAGAAGCACCGGCUAACUACGUG